AGCCUUCUGUAUCCGUGCUGAGAUUUCGUCACACACCAGACCACAAGGGCUGAUGAGACUUCCAAAAGGACGUACAUUU
rfam:Schistosoma mattheei strain Denwood, Zambia genome assembly, scaffold: SMTD_scaffold0012103